CGAUAGUGGCGCACGGGUGCGUAACGCGUAACCAACCUACCCACAUCUGGGGGAUAGCCCGCCGAAAGGCGGAUUAAUACCGCAUAAGCUACUUGGCCGGCAUCGGUUGGGUAGCAAAGAUUUAUUGGAUGUGGAUGGGGUUGCGUGCCAUUAGCUGGUUGGGGGGUAACGGCCCACCAAGGCGACGAUGGCUAGGGGAGCUGAGAGGCUGGUCCCCCACACGGGCACUGAGAUACGGGCCCG
rnacentral:rRNA from 1 species